rnacentral:rRNA from 1 species
UACGUAGGGUGCGAGCGUUGUCCGGAUUUAUUGGGCGUAAAGAGCGUGUAGGCGGCUUUACAGGUCCGUUGUGAAAACUCGAGGCUCAACCUCGAGACGCCGGUGGAAACCGUAAGGCUAGAGUCCGGAAGAGGAGAGUGGAAUUCCUGGUGUAGCGGUGAAAUGCGCAGAUAUCAGGAGGAACACCCGUGGCGAAAGCGGCUCUCUGGGACGGUACUGACGCUGAGACGCGAAAGCGUGGGGAGCAAACAGG